AAACAUCACCUCCAGCAUUCCCAGUAUUGGAGGCAUUGCCUGCCCAGUGACAACUGUUUAACGGCCGCGGUAUCCUGACCGUGCAAAGGUAGCAUAAUCAUUUGUUCUCUAAAUAAGGACUUGUAUGAAUGGCCGCACGAGGGUUUUACUGUCUCUUACUUCCAAUCAGUGAAAUUGACCUUCCCGUGAAGAGGCGGGAAUGCACAAAUAAGACGAGAAGACCCUAUGGAGCUUUAACUAACCAACCCAAAGAGAAUAGAUUUAACCAUUAAGGAAUAACAACAAUCUCCAUGAGUUGGUAGUUUCGGUUGGGGUGACCUCGGAGAAUAAAAAAUCCUCCGAGCGAUUUUAAAGACUAGACCCACAAGUCAAAUCACUCUAUCGCUCAUUGAUCCAAAAACUUGAUCAACGGAACAAGUUACCCUAGGGAUAACAGCGCAAUCCUAUUCAAGAGUCCAUAUCGACAAUAGGGUUUACGACCUCGAUGUUGGAUCAGGACAUCCUGAUGGUGCAACCGCUAUCAAAGGUUCGUUUGUUCAACGAUUAAAGUCCUACAUGAUCU
rnacentral:rRNA from 1 species